UUGCAAGCCGGCACGAUGGCUGCGACUGGAGUGGGCCGUCUGAGGCGGGCGGCUUCAGCCCUAUUGCUCCGGAGCCCGCACCUGCCGGCCCGGGAGCUGUCAGCUCUGGCUCGGCUCUACCACAAGAAGGUGGUUGAUCAUUAUGAAAAUCCUAGAAAUGUGGGGUCCCUUGACAAGACAUCUAAAAAUGUUGGAACUGGACUGGUGGGGGCUCCAGCAUGUGGUGAUGUAAUGAAAUUACAGAUCCAAGUGGGGAAGAUUGUGGAUGCCAGGUUUAAAACAUUCGGCUGCUGCUCCGCAAUCACCUUCAGCUCAUUAGCCACUGAGUGGGUGAAAGGGAAAACGGUGGAGGAAGCCUUGACCAUCAAAAACACACACAUCGCCAAGGAACUCUGCCUUCCUCCCAUGAAACUGUACUGCUCCAGGCUGGCUGAAGAUGCAAUCAAGGCCGCCCUGGCUGACUACAAACUGAAACAGGAACCCAAGAAAGGAGAGGCAGAGAAGAAAUGAGCCCUCGCAAAGCCUUCAAGUCAUGUCAGCUGUUUGCUCACC